CAGCGACCCGGCCUGCGUGCAGGCCCGCGCCUCGUGGCGCGAGUAUGUCAGCGACGGCGCGGGUUCGAGCCUCGCGGCGCUGG
rnacentral:tRNA from 3 species